CAGCAGCCACGGUAAUACGUAGGGUGCGAGCGUUAAUCGGAAUUACUGGGCGUAAAGCGUGCGCAGGCGGUUGUGUAUGACAGGUGUGAAAUCCCCGGGCUUAACCUGGGAACUGCGCUUGUGACUGCACAGCUAGAGUAUGGCAGAGGGGGGUGGAAUUCCACGUGUAGCAGUGAAAUGCGUAGAGAUGUGGAGGAACACCGAUGGCGAAGGCAGCCCCCUGGGCCAAUACUGACGCUCAUGCACGAAAGCGUGGGGAGCAAACAGGAUUAGAGACCCCUGUAGUCCCUGUCUCUUAUAA
rnacentral:rRNA from 1 species